GGGGAUUUAGCUCAGUGGUAGAGCGCUUGCCUAGCAAGUACAAGGCCCUGGGGUUCAGUCCUCA
rnacentral:tRNA from 1 species